rnacentral:rRNA from 1 species
GACGAACGCUGGCGGCGUGCUUAACACAUGCAAGUCGAGCGGUAAGGCCCUUUCGGGGGUACACGAGCGGCGAACGGGUGAGUAACACGUGGGUGACCUGCCCUCAGCUCUGGGAUAAGCCCGGGAAACUGGGUCUAAUACUGGAUAUGACUCCAUGACGCAUGUUGUGGGGUGGAAAGCCUUGUGCGGCUGAGGAUGGGCCCGCGGCCUAUCAGCUUGUUGGUGGGGGAUGGCCUACCAAGGCGACGACGGGUAGCCGGCCUGAGAGGGCGACCGGCCACACUGGGACUGAGACACGGCCCAGACUCCUACGGGAGGCAGCAGUGGGGAAUCUUGCGCAAUGGGCGAAAGCCUGACGCAGCGACGCCGCGUGAGGGAUGACGGCCUGGUGUAAC